GGCACCAUUUUACAUCGGCCAAGAGAGCUCAUCGUGAAUACUUCACAGAGGACGAUAACCCGAAGCCGAACUGCUGAACCGCCUGAUAGGACCUUGCGACAGGGGAGGCGACCAGUGCAGGCGAGUGCAUGUAAGGUGCUGGAAUUGGUUUGACUCUUACACCUUACAGCUGGAAUACACACAUGUAACACUGAGAGACAAUACACGUGAUGCCAAAUUAUAGACAAUCAAUGCAAUGCAUAAUCAUAAUCAUAAUCAUAAUCCUGAUGGCAUGCUGGUUCUUCCUCGCUGUUGUCAAACACUUCACACACUUCACUGCCAUAGUACAGGGAAGUGUUAUCAAAAACAAGUCUGUCCAGGAUUUUAUAGUCACAUAUUGACACAGACUCAAGUCAGCUGAAACAUGUAUGUCCAUUGCAAGGUUUAUUAACAAGGAAUUCAAUAAUCUAAAAUAUUCUGACAGUAUUCACGGAAGAGCAAAGAAAACAAGACAUCUUAGGGAUUAUUGCCAGCUUACAUGAUUGUCAAGCAUAAGUGUUUUGUUACUUAGAUGAAAUAAACAAGCAUCACAUAA